AUGCCGAUGAUCUCCGUGGCGCCGCCGCCGGCCCUGGCCUUCCCGAGGCUGACCACGCUCACGAUGCCGCCGCCCAUGAUCGCGCUCCCGGACCGCGCCCAUGCCGACGCGCCGCGCCCGCCCCCGCCGCUCGUGGUCCGCCACGCCGCCGCCAAGCACAAGGCCGUCGUCGUCAUGGGCGCCACGGGCACCGGCAAGUCCCGCCUCGCCAUCGACCUCGCGCUCCGCUUCGGCGGCGAGGUGAUCAACUCCGACAAGAUGCAGGUCUACCAAGGCCUCGACGUCGCCACCAACAAGGUCUCCCCCGGCGAGUGCGCCGGCGUGCCGCACCACCUGCUCGGCCUCAUCCAGGACCCCGACCAGGACUUCUCCGCCGCCGACUUCCGCCGAGAGGCCGCGAGCGUCGCGCGCGACGCCGCCGCGCGCGGGUACGUCCCCGUCGUCGCCGGCGGCUCCAACUCGUACGUGGAGGAGCUCGUGGAGGGCGACCGCCGCGCCUUCCGGGAGCGCUACGACUGCUGCUUCCUGUGGGUGGACGUGCAGCUCCCCGUGCUGCGCGACUUCGUGGCGCGCCGCGUCGACGACAUGUGCCGCCGCGGCCUCGUCGACGAGGUGGCCGCCGCCUUCGACCCGCGCCGCACCGACUACUCUCGUGGCGUCUGGCGCGCCAUCGGCGUCCCCGAGCUCGACGCCUACCUCCGCUCCACCGGCGCCGGCGAGGACGAGCGCGCAAGCAUGCUCGCCGCCGCCGUCGACGAGAUCAAGGCCAACACGUCGCGCCUCGCGUGCCGCCAGCGCGGCAAGAUCCAGCGGCUGGCCCGUAUGUGGCGCGUCCGCCGCGUCGACGCCACCGAGGUGUUCCUCAAGAGCGGCGCCGCCGCCGACGAGGCGUGGCAGCGGCUCGUCGCCGCGCCCUGCAUCGAUGCCGUCCGGUCGUUCCUGCUCGAGGACCAAGAAUGCAGCAUGGUCGCCGCAGCCGGCAAGGCCUCCGUCUUCGCCUCAGCGGCCGGCAAUGCCUCCGUCUUCGCCGGCAGACCCGCCACCGCCGUCGUCUAG
rnacentral:rRNA from 1 species